GCCUCGAUCUCUUCUACUGGACCAUCGCCGGCAUCGGCGUCUUCAACCUCAUCUACUUCCUCAUCUGCGCCAGGUGGUACAGGUUCAAGGGGGCCAGCAACUGAGCGCCCGGCCGAGGUGGUCAUCAUCUCACGAGUGCAGGCAUGAAGAAUGAGCUCUGAACUAUGUGGGGAUGGAAAUCUGUCUGGUUGCUUGGUUGGGUAAUUAUGUCAUGGCCUUGGGGGAGCAUGAGGAAAAAAAGGGGGGGUUAGUAUAAGGUCACGAUAAUUAAUUUGUGUUUACCAUAGUAGUUGUUUGAUAAUGCCUCUUUUUUUUGUUUAUUGUAUUUUAAUUUUGUUACUCGUGCUUCCAUUUGGAUCCAUAGGAUGAUGAAAGAGAAGAAAGAAACAAAAGAGUUGGUUUCUUGUAAGUGGUUAAACUGAAAUAUGAAUGGAUGUUAAGAUGAAAUGAAAGUUAAGCUCGAUUCCCAGCUUAUGAUUUCAAUUCGCAAGCACAUAUGCCUUCAGUGUCACUGACCUGAAUAAACGAAUGCCUUCAAAGUUCAGUUGUUGUUGGCCUCCAUGCUGUCCACCUGAUAAGGGUCAAGAAUAUUACUAGCACACCUUUUCGAUAGAGAUAAAACUGAUCCAGGGAUAUUUUUACCUUUGCUGGAAGAACACUUCUCUUCCCCCACAGUAAAGCAAAACCACUUUAAAGC
rnacentral:lncRNA from 1 species